rnacentral:rRNA from 1 species
AGAGUUUGAUCCUGGCUCAGAUUGAACGCUGGCGGCAUGCCUUACACAUGCAAGUCGAACGGCAGCGCGGGGCAACCUGGCGGCGAGUGGCGAACGGGUGAGUAAAAUAUCGGAACAUACCCUAGAGUGGGGGAUAACGUAGCGAAAGUUACGCUAAUACCGCAUACGCACUAAGGUGGAAAGUGGGGGAUCUUCGGACCUCAUGCUCAUGGAGUGGCCGAUAUCUGAUUAGCUAGUUGGUGAGGUAAAGGCUCACCAAGGCGACGAUCAGUAGCUGGUUUGAGAGAACGACCAGCCACACUGGAACUGAGACACGGUCCAGACUCCUACGGGAGGCAGCAGUGGGGAAUUUUGGACAAUGGGGGCAACCCUGAUCCAGCAAUGCCGCGUGAGUGAAGAAGGCCUUC